GUUCAAAGUGUUGAGUUCAGUCCUGCUGCUCGGUGCUGGUCUGAUAAUUAGACUUUGGAACAGAAACUUGCAGCAGAGACACAGUUUACAUCAUCUGUAUAUCUGGAGCCUCACUGCUGCUGACAUUA